GAUGAAGAACGUAGUGAAAUGCGAUAAGUAAUGUGAAUUGCAGAAUUCAGUGAAUCAUCGAAUCUUUGAACGCACAUUGCGCCCAUUAGUAUUCUAGUGGGCAUGCCUGUUCGAGCGUCAUUUCAACCCUUAAGCCUAGCUUAGUGUUGGGAAUCUGCUGUAUUGCAGUUCCUCAAAUACAACGGCGGAUCUGUAACAUCCUCUGAGCGUAGUAAAUUUUUAUCUCGCUUUUGUUAGGUGUUGCAGCUCUCAGCCGCUAAACCCCCCAAUUUUUGUGGUUGACCUCGGAUCAGGUAGGAAUACCCACUGAACUUAAGCAUAUCAAUAAGCGGAGGA
rnacentral:misc_RNA from 1 species